GACGAACGCUGGCGGCGUGCCUAAUACAUGCAAGUCGAGCGGAUGAAAGAGGAGCUCGCUCCUCUAGAUUCAGCGGCGGACGGGUGAGUAACACGUGGGCAACCUGCCCUGUAGAUUGGGAUAACUCCGGGAGACCGGGGCUAAUACCGAAUAAUCCUUCGGACCUCAUGGUCCGAUGUUGAACGACGGUUUCGGCUGUCACUACAGGAAGGGCCCGCGGCGCAUUAGCUAGUUGGUGAGGUAACGGCUCACCAAGGCCACGAUGCGUAGCCGGGCUGAGAGGGUGAUCGGACACACGGGGACUGAGACACGGCCAAGACUCCUACGGGAGACAGCAGUAGGGAAUCUGCCACGAUGUGCGAAAGUCUGAUGGAGCAACGCCGCGUGAGUGAAGAAGGUUCUCGGAUCGUAAAACUCUGUUGUGAGGGAAGAACAAGUACCGGAGUAACUGCCGGUGCCUUGACGGUACCUCAUUAGAAAGCCACGGCUAACUACGUGCCAGCCGCCGCAGUAA
rnacentral:rRNA from 1 species